UCCAUGAUGGCGAGACCUGGCUGCUCCUUCACGCCAAUCUUACAAACCUGUCCCUGCUGUCCUUAAAAAAAUAACAAAAAAACGGCCACUCCCUUGAAUCCUGUUCGUAACAACGCCAAAAUGUAACCGAGGACAAGGUACGAGUGAACGGGACAAAGAAAUAAAUUGAUCAUUUAUUUAUUACAUUAAUUAAACAUACAAAUUCCCCUUAUUUCCAGACAGGACUUAUAGCAGAUCCUGCUGAUAUCCCAGCUGCACAUGAGACUUACCACACUAACGGUGCGAAUAUGACUACA